ACAGCUAUAUCAUGUUGAAACACCAGUUUUCAUAUGAUCACCAAAGUUAAGCAAUGUUGAGCCUGGUCAGUAAAUGGGUGACUGCUUGGGAAUACCAGGUGCUGUAUG